rnacentral:rRNA from 1 species
UACGUAGGGUGCAAGCGUUUAUCCGGAUUCACUGGGUUAAAGGGUGCGUAGGUGGGUCUGUAAGUCAGCGGUGAAAUCUCCGGGCUUAACCCGGAAACUGCCAUUGAUACUAUAGAUCUUGAAUUGUCUGGAGGUAAGCGGAAUAUGUCAUGUAGCGGUGAAAUGCUUAGAUAUGACAUAGAACACCAAUUGCGAAGGCAGCUUACUACGGAUUGAUUGACACUUGGAGGCACGGAAAGCGUGGGGGAUCAAAACAGGA